rnacentral:rRNA from 1 species
AACGAACGCUGGCGGCGUGCCUAACACAUGCAAGUCGUGCGAGAAAGUUCCUUCGGGAGCGAGUAAAGCGGCGCACGGGUGAGUAACACGUAGGUAACCUGCCCCCCAGUCUGGAACAACUAGAGGAAACUCUAGCUAAUGCCGGAUGAGACCACGAUCCCUUCGGGGGUUGCGGCCAAAGAUGGCCUCUACUUGUAAGCUAUCGCUGAGGGAUGGGCCUGCGGGCCAUUAGCUUGUUGGUGAGGUAACGGCUCACCAAGGCUGUGAUGGCUAGCUGGUCUGAGAGGAUGACCAGCCACACUGGGACUGAGACACGGCCCAGACUCCUACGGGAGGCAGCAGUGGGGAAUAUUGGACAAUGGGCGAAAGCCUGAUCCAGCAAUGCCGCGUGAGUGAUGAAGGCCUUAGGGUUGUAAAGCUCUUUUACCCGGGGAUGAUAAUGACAGUACCGGGAGAAUAAGACCCCGGG